UACGUAGGGUGCGAGCGUUGUCCGGAAUUACUGGGCGUAAAGAGCUCGUAGGUGGUUUGUCGCGUUGUCCGUGAAAACUCACAACUCAAUUGUGGGCGUGCGGGCGAUACGGGCAGACUGGAGUACUGCAGGGGAGACUGGAAUUCCUGGUGUAGCGGUGGAAUGCGCAGAUAUCAGGAGGAACACCCGUGGCGAAGGCGGGUCUCUGGGACGGUACUGACGCUGAGACGCGAAAGCGUGGGGAGCGAACAGG
rnacentral:rRNA from 1 species